CCGGCGCGAGGGCGGCCAGACGGCCAGUGCGCCCCCGGGCCCUAGACUGCGCGCCGCCACCGCCCGCUCCCUGGCCCAUGCCAGCGUCUGGGGCUGCCUGGCCACCGUGUCCACCCACAAGAAGAUCCAAGGACUGCCAUUUGGGAACUGCCUGCCCGUCAGUGAUGGCCCCUUCAACAAUAGCACUGGGAUUCCUUUCUUCUACAUGACAGCCAAGGACCCCGUGGUGGCUGAUCUGAUGAAGAACCCCAUGGCCUCGCUGAUGCUGCCAGAAUCAGAAGGGGAGUUCUGCAGUUCUUACAGAGGCUAAUCAAAGCAACUAUACAAUGCAAGAUGCAUCCUGGAUAAGCCAUUGUUUCCCCUCAGCCACGACAGACCACAUGGAGACACUUCAGCUGACCCUGUUCCCCACCAGGUUACAGCAAGAAGCCAGGAAAAGAAACAUUUCCUUUCUCAUGGAAUAUUCUCCCUGUUCUUGGUCAGUCAAGCUUACUGUUACUAGAAGUACAUUUCCAGGAUACCUUUCUUUUCUUUUCUUACUCUUUUUUUUUUUUUUUCGAGAUAGAGUUUCGCUCUUGUUUCCCAGACUGGAGUGCAGUGGCGCAAUCUCGGUUCACUGCAACCGUGAACCUCUGCCUCCCAGGUUCAAGCAAUUCUCCCUGCCUCAGCCUCCCAAGUAGCUGGGAUUACAGGUGUCCACCACCACGCCUGGCUAAUUUUUGUAUUUUUAGUAGAGACAGGGUUUUGCCAUGUUGACCAGGCUGGUCUCAAACUCCUGACCUCAGGUGAUCCACCUGCCUCGGCCUUCCAAUCCAGGAUACCUUUCUAAGCUUCCCAGGCUUUCCUCAUUCAGGUAUCCUGAAAGCAGUCGUGCUGGAGCAUGUGGCUCCCAGAACCCAGAGCACA
rnacentral:lncRNA from 1 species